GAAACGAAGUUAUAUGAUUAGAAUAUUGAAGAACGAAUGUGGCCAGUACUGGAGCUCUAUGAAAUUAAGUACAGUUUGUCUUGAACUACAAGCUGGUUUAAUUUUUCACAUAGUACAGCUCUGAUCAAGUGCAUCAAAAUGUAUAGCAUAUUGCCGAAUUGAAAAAUUACAAAGUGGGGGCUCUUUCAGCAGUUCCAGCAAUGACAGUGAGCAAGUUGUUGCCAAAGGGGUCACUCAAAUGGGCAGCCAAAUUCUCAACUGGACCUUUUCCUGUAACAUAGGCUUGGAUGAAGAAACCAAGCAUAGCAAACAUGGCUAGUCUUCCAUUCUUGAUUUCUUUUACUUUCAAUAUUGCUGCCUGGUCUGGGUCCUUUGCCAAGCCUAGUGGAUCAAAUGGACCACCUGGGUGUAGCUUGUCCUCCAAAUCCUACAUCCCCAAAACACAAUUUAUUAAAUCGACAGUCAAUUAAUUAUCAGCAUAUGAUAUUGCUGCAUUGUGAUCAAAGUCUCACAUUGGUAGUUAAAAAGAAAAGGAAGCUGCAUAUGAGGUGUAUGGCUACUCCUAAUGAUAUGAGGCCUUUUGGAGAAUACAGUACAAUUUUGCCUAAAGCAGAUAAUAUCACAAUAUUAAGAGUAUCUUUGGACCGGUUUAGGUCACCAUAUUAAAAGCCUGUUUAGCCAAGCUUCUCCAGAGCCAAAAACACUUUUUUUUUUAUAAAUAUUUUUCAAAGUUGAAGUGUUUGGCCAGACUUUUAAAAGUAACAAAAGUGCUUUUGAAUAGAAGCGGAAGCAAUUUUGGAAAAACAGAAAAAAGUAGCUUCUUCCCAAAAAUAUUUUUUUCAAAAGCACUUCCGAGUAAAAUACACUUAAAAACACUUUUUAAAAGCUUGGUCAAAUACUAAUUAUUGUUCAGAAGUGUUUCUCCAAUUAAUUAGCUUAACACAAAUUGCUUUUAACCAAAAGUACUUUUGAAAAAAAAAUACUUUUAAGAAAAAAAAUUCUCAAAAUAAGCUGAUUUAGAAACUUGGCCAAACAUGCUAUAAGAAUAUCUUUGGGCCAGUUUAGGCCAACAUAUGAUCUAAAUUAAUGUCGCAAAGUAGUCAGAAGGAAGAAGUAAAGGGGAGCUGCUCACCAAACCAUUGGUAAUUCUGUAGUACUCAGCACCACCAAGAAGAACAACCUCCGCGACGACAGCAACAACAAGAUUGAUGGGAAUGUUCUUUCCAAAGUAAUUCAAUGUGUUUCCAUCUAGAAGUAAUGCACCAGUCUAGACACCGACACGAGGAAAUAAGUAUUGUAUACUCCUUGUAAAUUCAAAUUCCUAAAGAAAUGUAAGGUGCAAUUGAUGGAAAUAUAUACCUUGAACCAAACUGCUUCAGGACCACAGUCAGCACCAAAUUUGUUGAAGGCUUCAGGGAUAACAAAUCCAGCAGCACCGAGCAUAGCCCAUCUAGCGUGGAUCAACUCAUAUGCCUGAUAUCUACAGUAGAUCGAGCAUAUUAACAUUAAAAUCUAUCUCCACAAACAACACGAACGAAAUUGGCUGAGAGUAUACUUAAUUAAUGUGUCACCGCACUUACUUAGCAAAGUCUUCUGGCUUCUUGCUGAGACCAAAGGGAUCGUAACCGUAGCUGCAGCAAAUACAGAAAACUUAUUAUACUCGUAAUUUCAUCCCAAGUUUGUAUAUGUGAGCAUGCAAUUCUAGCAAAAAGACGCAAAGAUUAAGGGGGCUUACUCUCCGGGAACUUCUCCGUUCAGGUACUCGGGGAUUUCCGAUCUGUCCAAGAGACCGUCGGGUAGGAAAAUUCUUCUGUCAGGUCCUGUAAGUAGUAUUUAGAUAUCGAGUGUACGCAAAUGAAUAAAAGGGAAGUUGUAAAACGGAGACUACAGGGACUGGGAAUCUCUAGAGGUUCUAUUUGACAUUAUUGUAGUACGUACGGAUUAGCAGCAACAAGCUUAUGAAGGCAGUUAAUUAGGGAAAAUAAAAAGAGAAAAUGUAAUGGAGUACUUCCUCUGUUUCAUUUUACAUGUUAUUCAUCCAUUUUUUGUCUGAUAAUGAAAGAAUGACACAUUUCUUUUUUGAAAAUUCUUUAAUUAUAUACUCAUUUCAAUUUACGCGUCUACAUUAGUAUUUGAGGUAUUUUGAAACAUAUAUGUAGUUUCUAAAUACAUAAAUUUUUUUAAAAAAUCUUUGUCUAAUUUCAUGAUCAAAAUUAAGAACUUUGACUCUGGUGCUCCAAAUCGAGCCAUGUUUUUGCUAAAUGAUAUGCUCGUACAACCAUAAAUUCUAACGAUACAUUUGGCAUGUGCUAGAAGUCCUUUUGAUGUUCUUUCUUAAGCUCAGAGCGCAGUCAAACACCAGUCAUAUAAAAAAAAGGAAGGAGUAUGUUACUCACCGUACCACUUGGCGAGCUCCUCGUCAGCAGGGGCGAUAGCAACAGCCUUCUUAGCAGGGGCAGCAGCAGCCUUCUUUUUGAAGAGGGCAACAGUUUUGAAGGUAGCAGGUGAAGAUGGAGUAGGAGCAGCUGGCCUUGCUACACCGCUGAACUUGACCGGACUUCCCAACAUUUCUGAGACGUAGAGGGAGGUAGCUGCAGCCAUGGCUAACGGUGGAGCCGGAGGAAGUUGAGGCUGAGAUCAGUUGUUAGAGGAAGAGUUGUUGAUGAUGAGAAUUGAGAAACUGAGGAUGGUAUUUGGAGUGGAGAUAUUCACUAAAUGCUUGAUGUGGUGGAUGUAGACGUGCCAAGUGUUGAUCUACUAUUGGAUUUCCGGGAAACAUCUGCAAUCUGAUGCAGCAAUUUGAUAGGAAGGAUUUUCUGAUGUGGCAGAUGACAGUGCUGACAUGGCAUGCAUCUUAAAACUAUUGGUGAAGACUUGGAUAACAUCCUAUCUAUCCACAUUGCCACAUUACCUUCUUCUUUUCUGUACUUUUCUCUUUUAUAUAUUUUCUUUUAUUAAAAAUGCAAUAUGCAAUAUAUUGUUUAAUAUAUUACAUAGUGAUCCAUCUGUUUUAAUUUAUGUGAACUUAUUUACUUUUUAGUCCGUGCCAAAAAGAAUGACUUAUUUCCCUAUGUGAAAACAAUUUGCCUUUAUGCAAUGACUUAUAGCCACACAAAACAUAUGUACUUCAUUUUACGCUACAAGUUCAAAAGUCUUCUUUUUUUCUUAAACUCCAUGUCCAAUCAAAUGAGUUCACGUAAAUUGAAACGGAGGGAGUAACAUUUUUUAACUUUUUCCUUUUUGGUGCAAACGUUGUUCAUCUGGCUAAUCUUAAACUAUACUAAUCUUAAACUAUAUAUAUAUAUAUAUAUAUAUAUAUAUAUAUAUAUAUAUUAUGAAGACGUCAUAGAUAAAUAUUUUAGUGAUUAGAAAUAAAACUUAGUACAAGAAAUUGUUGUGUCUGGGUCAAUUUGUGCGCACCUCGACGAAUUCUACGGAGUGCCUGCUACCUCUAAUCAGCAUCAGGUACCAGGUAACUCUAUCCGCCAAGACUUGGACAGAUGGGUUGAAGGCUUGAAGCUUUAAGAUUGUAUGUUUUGCAUCUCUCGAACUUGAACUUAAUUGACGUAGUAUUUGUUUAAUAUAUUUCACUUCAUUGAAGUUUUUGAAUCAUCUACAUACUUUGAUGUCUUUCUUCGCUAAAAUGUGCGUUGUAUUGUGUUGAACUUAAGGUUCCCAGUGGAACUACACGCUUUUCUACAGUUUGCUCUGACCACAUUACUAUCGGCAAAUUGCCCCAUCAUAGCGUUUUAAGAUCAGUGAGUGAGUACUCAAAUAAGCGCAGAGUUUAGUAUGCUUCUUUAGUUUUGACAAACUUCUACUCCUGAAAAGUUGUUCCUGUAGUUCUGAAAAUUUGACAACUUUCUACACGUGAUAAUUUAUUGCUGUAGGCUGUAGUUUUGAAAAGAUUACCUGUUUUCUCCAGUUUGUCCAAAUGUACUUGUAUUAGGUAUUAAUUCUACCUUUCAAUAGAAUUUGUUUGCUAUGAUCCUCAAAAGAGACCACUCUUGCCCCACAAAUCACUGAGAAAUAUGAAGAAUCAAAGUUUUCUCAUUGCUAAAGAAUUGGUACACUGGUGACUAAAAAUUAGAAUGGCUACAUUUUCCUUAUACCAUAUUCUAUUUUCUAUGACUUUCCUGGAAGCAGAUUGCUUUGUUGUUUACAAGGGGAUAAACACCCUGUAUUAUGAAUUUACAUUUUACAACAAAUGAUUCUAAAGAACAAAAUCAUGUAUGCAUCCUAAAACUGAGGUUCUAAUAAUCUUACAUGCUUAUUGCUCUAGAUGAGACUUCAGACUCACCCUCCUGCAGCUCGGUUUCGGCCAUCCCAUGAUUUUCCUGGCAAUAAAAUUUAUCCAGAGGUCAACAGUGUGCAUGUGUGUAGCUUACCCGAAUAAGUUUUAGCAGGAAAUGCCCUUUUUUGUAUGCAGAGGGUAUAUGUCUUCACACAUUCUAAGCUUACUUUAGGAGAAGAAUGAUUCUAUUGAAAACAAAUGGCAAUAGCCAAGGAAUAAAAUAAACAAGUGAAAGUUCAAAUCAUACUCUUUGAUCUCCCGAAUGUGCCUGAGCAAGAUACCGUGGCAGAGCACCAUCUCCACGAAGUACCUUCCCACCACAUCCAGGUGCAUUUACUGCACCUACUGACUCUUCAUCCACCACAAUAGCAUCUACUCUAUCAUCUCCAGCUUUGACAUCAGGAAUCUGCACAUUCAAGCGAAUCAAGUACGAAAACACUUGUUCCUGAUCUUAAAGAUUUUGUGAAGCUCCUAUGAAAAUAGAUUCGAACAUAGUUUACCUCAUACAUAGCAUCAGUUAAGAUGCUUUCAAGUAUGGCUCUCAAUCCCCUAGCACCAGUAUUUUUAGCCAUCGCUUUCUUGGCAAUCAACCUUAAUGCUCCCUCCGUAAAAUGUAGUUUAGUCUAAACAAGCAUGUGAAAGUCCAAAUCAGUUGAAUACAACAUUUAACCUCUCUGUUCAGGGUUUGAGGAUGUGUAUUUUCAUGCUUGCGUUCCUUUUUGCCCUGGGGUGGGAGGGUUGUAAAGGUGGGUGUGAGUCGGGGAAGAGAGGAAGGACACAUAGUUUGUACUUACAUUAUUCAUGCUAAAUAGCUUUUUAUAUUGCUUGCAAAGAGCAUUUUUGGGUUCAGUGAGGACCUGUAAGAAAAAAAAAUACAUUAAAUUCACCAACUCAAUUAUCUGGAAAAACAAACACUUCAAGACCAAAAGUCAAAAGAAAGAAGACGACGAAAGAGAAGAACAAUCAAAGCAAGGAAUACAUAGAACAUAAGGAAUCUGGCAGGGAAUAAGUAACAAUAACUAAAAUCUGUUAGGUGAAAGAUGGAUUUCCCUCAUAAGCAAGGAUCAAGUUCUUCAAUCAGAGAACUGAAGCUGUAAUAACAAAUCAUUAUCAACAUUUGUGUAUCUUGGGUCUUUCAUGUUAAUUGAUGAUGAGAGAGCCAACUGGACUUCUAUCAAUAUUUGCUUUGCUCUGCUUAAAAGAGCUUAUUCCAGAUAAAGUAUUUUUCACAAAAGGAAGACAAUUGCUCCAAUAGGUACACUAAGCUUCUGAAGGUAAACCAAUUGACGCAACCCAUCAGCAUGAGAGACAUCCUCCCAUUCUGAAUGAGUUGCAACUUGCUUUCCAUAUGCAAUGCAGGCCGUGAUUACAGUAGCAAAAUAAAAACUAAAGGCAAAACAAAAAAUAAAAAGUACCUGAACAAGCUGGUCCUCCGUCAGUGCAGAUAAACUAACCAAAAUAGGAAAGCGCCCAAUAAACUCUGGUAUGAGGCCGUAUGAAAUAAAAUCACUACUUUCUACCUGGAAACAUGAAGUGAUAUCUUUCAGGAAUAGCAGCUGGCUAGAUAUUAAAUUCUAUUGUGCACAACUCACAAUUUCAAGCAUAUAAAAACAUAGGAACUUAGAAUUAGAUCACCAUUCUUACAGAUUCUAGCAAGGAUGAUGUUACAGUUGCAUUAGUUACUCCACCAGUUCUCAUGUUGGCGCGAACUGGAGCUCCAAAACCAAUAGAAGAAUCCUGUCGUCUGAUAAUAAGAACCCCUUGUAAACCCUCAUAGUUCACAAAAGUCUUAGUUCCUGAUGCACUUAGAGGAAGGAAUUCAGAAGAUAAAAUUACCUCUCUGAAAUAGUUUUCUCCAAAUCAAUGAAUGCGCCGCCACAGAUAAAAAGAAUGUCUUUUGUAUCUAUCUGUAUAAAUGUUGCAAAACUUUUAGAGAAUUCAUAGGGGAAGAAAUAAAAUGAAUUCAACAAGUGAAGCAUAAGACGUUCGGGUUUGUUAAUUUUUUUUUAACAAGGAAAUGGAGAAGAGAUUCCAAACAUUCGGUUCCAAUUCAGAGAAAAGAAAGUGUCUACAUGUAGCACCUGACUUUAUUUUGUCUGAACUGAUUGACACAUCCGUUGACAUGUAGAAGUGGACCCAAGGAUGCUGAUCAUCGACAAGUUCAUCUACAGCAAGUCUCACUACUUUUUAGUCAGAGCAUGAGAUCCAAUGUUUAACAUCUCUCAAUGGAAAAUUAUCUUGGACAUUGCCUCGUCUAACUUACCAAUUGAUUCUUUACCUUAUUAUCUCCUUAUUUAAUAAAGAAUCAUAUAUAUUGAAGGGAUAGCUGGAAUCGCUCAGUUGGUUAGAGCGUGUGGCUGUUAACCACAAGGUCGGAGGUUCAAGCCCUCCUUCUAGCACUUAACGUCCUCAUCAAAAAAAUAUUGAAGGGAUAGAAAACAUUGUUGUACAGCUCCAGGGACCAUUUAUGUUCUUUUGGGUAAAUUUUUAAAGCACCAGUGAGAUUCCAGUUAGUAUAAACGUUGGUUUGCUUGUUUACAGGAGCUCCCAUUUAAAACUUGAGACUACUCCUUCCAACUUUCAGCAUUUGGGCAGGUUCAGACUCUAUACAUCAUGUUACCACUUACCAGAGUGAUAUUUUUUUUGGGUAAGGUAAGGUAUCCUCUUAGCAGAGUUCUAAGUUUAUUUUUGUGUGAGAUUUUAUCUUUUGUAUACUAGUGUUUUCCUUUUACAGAGGUAAAAUUAUAACUUUUUCAAGAAACAAAAGGUAGCAAAACUCUAAGAAUGGUAACAAAGGAAAAUAGGAACUGAACACAUCCUCAUCCACUUUACCUGAAUAUGAUCACCACGAGGAUGCUUCCUUUGUCCCUUUUCAGGUACAUUCACAAUCUGGACAAAGAGACAUAUAUGUUACUACUGGUUAAUAAAGGCAGCAGCCCACAUCAUUAGCUAAGGAUAAUGCUGUUUCCAAGAAAUUUUUAAAGUGAUAUAAGAGCAAGAUUCGUAAUCUAAACUGUGAAUCUUUUAAAGCACAAAUGAUAAACAUCAUGAUUACAGCACUGUAGAAUAUAAACAAAAUAAAUUGAGGACAGUGAAGUUUACCAUGAUAACGAUCAAAGGUUUCUUUAGAAUGAAAUGUAGAAAUUGAAAAGACAGAUGGUCAUAGAUCAGUUUUCAUAUUCGAUAUUUUAAGCAAGAGCACCAGGUAAGUGUGCCCAAGAUAGUGAGAAGAAGCAUGAUUAUCCAUUAUCAAGUUGUAUAAAACUUGCCAAGAAAAUUAAGGACGAAUAAUACCAAGUUAAACUUACUCUAUGCCAUUUUUAUUGUGGGGAGUCAAAUAGGGAGCCACUUACUAUACACCCUGGGAGACAUAAAUCACAAAAUCAAGCACACAUUGCAACCAUGAAAGUUGCUGGAUAAAUUCCUUUUCGUGUGUGAUACAAGAAGCACAUUCAUUGUUGUGCAAUUACCUGCAAGUUUUUGAAUGAGAGCAUUCUCGCAAUGCUUUUCUUUUUAGUGAUUGAUCAGUAUUCCGGUGAGAUUCAAUGAUAUUAUUGAGAUGUCUGUUUUUUUAACAGUAACUUUUUCCAACAUACUUGCCGGGACAUUCCUGUUUUUAUUUGCAAACUCAACUUGUUUCACUACAUUGAGUUCGAGGGGUAUGUUCAAAGUCAAGAGAAUUAGAAUAGGCUUGGAAUUUAAGUAUUUCUCCAUUUAAUAACUUUUCUUAUUUCGGAAUCUUACCUUAGUCCAAGCUUCCCUUAUAUUAAAGUCUAAUGAAAUAUUUCCUUGCCUAAACUCCAAUAUGGGAUGCCCGUAUUUCAUUCACGACCAAUUCAACAGAAGUUCAAGUUCUUUUAUGUUUUCUAUCUUAGACUAGUGUCUAUCACAAAUUCAAUCCAUGAUCAUUAAAAUUUGAACUUCUUCCAAAUAUGCUAGGUCUACAUCUUUUCUGCUUAAAUUGGAAUAGUGGUUGCAAUUCAGCAUUAACUUUAUGUACAACAAUUUAUACCUGUCAGUACUGCAUAUCCAUUAAUAGCUUUCCAAUAAAUUUGCAGACAAAGUUAAAUCGGUUCCCCUAAUAUACAAGAAAUGAAACCUAUAACAGCCUUUGGAUUUGUCAGCAUGAACAUAGUUGAACACAGAAUGAAGCUAUUUUUUUUUAAAAAUAAGGAUAAGGAGGAAGCUAUUAAUAUCCAAAGAGAGCCAACAAAUACUUAUUCAUUAGAAAACAACAAUAGUUAAUAAAUGGGCCAAGACCAAGGGCACUCACAGUUCCUUCGAGCAUUUUCAGUAGUGCCUGCUGAACUCCUUCCCCAGAAACAUCUCUGCUAAUAUUUAAGCUCUCAGCCUUUUCAAAGACAGAGAGCAGAGGAAUAAAAUAGGUGUGUCAGUUGUGAUAUCCUUCAAAUGUCAGAUGAAAAAGAAGAUUACACAGUGAUCAAAAUAUUUUGACAAAACGCAUAGAGCUUUUCUUCAAAUAAGCUAUAAGCAAUUACAAUAAACAAAAAAGACGCAAAACAAGCACCUUCUUUGUUAUCUUAUCGACUUCAUCAAUGUAGAUCAUCCCUUGUUGUGCUGCUUGCACAUUAAAUUCAGCAACCUGCAUGUCACAACAAUAUCACACUCCUAACACCACUGAAACCUUCAUAAGAUUCAACACUAUAUUCUAAGUUAAAGUAAUACCCUCACUCAGUGGCGGAGCCACAUGCACCAAAGGGGUGUCAACCGACACCCCUUCGCCGGAAAAUUACACUGUAUAGCUCGGUGACUUCUAGGUGAGUUUUUAAAAUAUGUAUAUAUAUUAUAUAAUGACACCCCUUGACUUCUUGGUGAGUUUGUUUCUUUAUAUUUUGACUCCCCUUAAUGAAAAUCCUGGCUCCGCCACUGCCCUCACUAUAUAAAGAAACUAUCGGCACAUAACAAAUGGGGCAAAAAAUAAAAACCAUGGCAUAUUAACUGUAGGAUGAAAAAAGUACUGAUAAUAACUAUACAUCCAACUUUUUUUUUUUGAGAAUGAUCUACACAUCCCAACUUCUCGAGAACCAAGAAAUAUGUAGAACAGGGACAUGCUUAACUCAACCAGUAAUUUGCAUACUUAUGAAUCUCUGCAGUAGGAACCAUACCGUAAGUAACUUGUACAAUAUGGAUUCGACAUCUUCACCAACAUAUCCAGCCUGUAAGAUAGCAAAAAGUGUUUCUCAGUUGGACGUCAAGAAGUAAAUUCAGAAAGAACCAGCACCCAGUGGAAAUGAUCAACUAAAAAGUAUUUCCAAUUAAUGUUCUGUGCUUGUACUCUCAUAUUGGAGCUUAAAAUAACAAGAAAGAAGCUAUUCUAAUUUUUAGAUGCAAGUGCCGCUUGGGAACAAGUUAAAUCCAGAUAUAAUGGGAGAAACUUGAUACUAUUUUCUAAUCAUUUCUAGACUCUAUUUUCUCAGCACAUAUUCAAGUAUUGAUUGGAAAUUUAUCACUCUAUAUAUCCCUUUCCUACUUGCGUUACUAACAAAUUUAAAAUACUUAUGUAUGAUUUACUUUGUUUUGUAUAAUAGUAUAUUAUUGUAAGUUAAGAGAGACUCCACAGUCCACCCAUUUAUUCUUCACUAAAUAAGAAGAGAAACAAUCAAAGUGGGAAAAGUUCAAAUCAAAAUAGCAUCUUACUUGCCUGUGUUAAGGUUGUUGCAUCUGCAAUAACAAAAGGCACAUUCACAAAGCGUGCAAGUGUUUUCGCAAGUAGUGUUUUCCCUGUUCCAAAAACGGUGUUAGAAAGUUUCAAGUUUCACAAAUUCUCCCACAAAAGUAAGCAAUUUUCAACUAAAAAUAUUAUUGGUUUGUGAGGCUACACAUUAGUUUAAGGAAGCUACAAACAGAACCACAAAAUGAAAAUGGGCACAUUCUUAAAACAAUCUGUAGUUAUUGCAAUUCUUAGUGUGUUACAGAAAAUUAACUCUUGUUGGAGAAUAAGGACGAGCAAAAGAGAAGAAAGUCCCAUUCAUCCUUGUUCAGUUGGCAGACAAAACAAGAAAUAGCGGACAAGGUGUUCAGAUGAAGAAAGAAUCAGUGUCUGUGAGGAGAAAAUGUUUUCUCAUGACUUUCUUUUCUUCUUAUCAUUUUUCAUUUAACAAAGAGGGGAACUAAAGUUUCCACAUCCCCUUCCUUUCUCUUACAGUCCCCACUUUCGGAACAUCGUAAGUUAUAAGGUUCUCAAUUUUGGAACAUCCCUGCUAACAAGCAAUAUGAACUGACAAAAGCUCUCAACGUUUCCAAGGCUAAACAUAGGUUUAAGGAAGCAACAGACAAAGAACCAGAAUGAGAAAAGCCACGUUCACUAAAGAACUAAGGAAUUGAAAGUAGUUCUUUUUUGAAAUGGUUAGUAAAAGUUAGUAAUCACGAACACUAAGAUGGUGCUGAAUGUUACAAUUGUAGCCUCACAAAAACCCAGUUCCACCACUAAUCAGUGAGAGAACUGAUGAAAUUUAUGAGCCAAGGACUUGCAAGUAGUUUUUCCCUGUUUCAGGGAAACUUAAGCCAGACUGCUUCCAGUAUUGGAACUUCUAUCAGCUGACAAUCUCUGGAAGUUUCUAAGGUUACAGAUUUGCAUAAGUAACUGACUGAAAGUACAAGAAUGGUAUGCAGAUUUUUACCUGAUCCAGUAGGCCCCAUCAAAAGCACGUUGCUUUUUUCCAGUUCCACAUUUUCUUCACUAUCAUCCCUCGCUGAUUCUGCUCCAGACCUAACACAGAAGUAUAUAUAAUAAUGGUUCAUAUAGAGAAAAUAAAGCUAAGAAAGAAAGGCAAGACAAACUAGAUGAUAGAAUAUUCAACAUGAUACAAAGAUAUCGAAAUUUAGAGGGAAAUGCACUGGUCAACAUUAAGUCUUCAAUAAAUCAUGAGCUAAUGGACUAACCCUUUCUGCAAUGAAGCAUGGUAAAUCCUUUUGUAGUGAUUAUAAACACCCACUGAAAGCACCUGCCAAAUGAAUCACUUGUGAAAAAACAACUCAAAGAUCCGAUACAAGUUAGAAGCCAGAGGCGGAUCUAGGAUUUAAAUCCUAUGAGUUCAACCUUUAAGGAUUUUAUUAUUGAACCCAUUAUAUUUUCAAAGCUAUGAGUUCAUAUCUACUAUUUGUUGCAAUUUCAGUGGAUUUUUACGCAUAAAUUUGUACUCCGCCUCGAAAGUUAUGAGAUAAUGCUGCAUCCGCCCCUGUUAGAAGCAUUUAUUCCAUGUAGGACAUAUUGUGCAAACAAUGACUUAAAUGAAAGUUUACCCUUUUCUCCGUCUCUAAAGUAGGAUAAGAGUGACAAAUAAAAGAUUAUGCCUGAAGCUCAUAAGCAUCAAAGGCCAAUUUAACAUCUGAUUUCCGCGAAUAAGCAUUCUAGAUAUGCAUCUCCUUUGGCAUAACAGAGACUAAUAAUAUGAAAAUGCUACUGAUUGACGUUGCGAGUUAAAAGUUAACCAGUAUAUAGUGAUCAAUUCAGUUGCUUGAUCACAGUUAUGAAGUUUCAGUAUUGUGUAGUGCAAUGAAUAAUGUCAAUGACUAUAAAGGCUUAAAAGAAUAAGAAGAAUUAAAAAAAGAACCUUUUUUGCACGCUCUUGACCUAUGACAAAUUUAUCAAGUCCCUUGCAGAUCUCCUUUGGCGUUGGCAAAUUCUUCCCCAAAUUAGACCCGCCCCACCCACUCUUCUCUUCACUACCUUCAUCUGUGCCGCCAUUUUUUCCCUCUGGUCCAGCAGCCCGUAUCAGAUUGAGUCCAGGUGCAAAUGGUGGGCCUGGAGGUGUAUGCACCGCCAGCCCAUUACCCGGUGGCGGAGGUGGUGGCCAAUUUUCAGGUGGCUCACCACCGUAGGAUUUCAACGACUCCCAAAAGGAAGGCCUCAGCCUCUUAUUCUCUUCAUCACUAUUAUUCAUUCUUUUACCAUUACCAUUGCCUUUCACUCUCCCAAUUUCAAAGAAACUACCUUGAAGUGGUGCCAUCUUGUUGGGCCUGAAGUAGUAAGCCGUUUUACAAUUGGGGCAAAGAUUCACUGCCUGGUAAGGACCACCUGCACCUGCUUCACUUUUUAAAUUACUAGCAGCAGCAGCGGCACUAUUUUCAUUGCUAUUAUUAGUUUUAUCAUCGUCGUUAGUAGGAGGAGGGAUGAGGUGGUGAUUACGAUUACUGAAUAGAAGAUCCAUGUGUUUAGAGCAACGAGGGCAAUAAGCCUCUGCCCUAAUCCUUCUCGGAGAAGUGCGAUACUCAUCGGAGGAACCGCCCCGGUCCCACUUGUACCUUGCUUGUACCCCGAUGAGAGACUCUCUCCGCUUCACGUGAGAACCCACGUGCAGCCAAUUCACGUAUGUUCGAUGCUGCUGUUGUUGUUCCUCUUGUUGAAUUGAGGUUAUUGUCCUCGUAAUCGCCGUUGUCGUUGUUGUUCUCCUCCUCCUCGUAACAGGUGAGUGUCUUAGAUUUCUCCAUCUCCAUAUUCCGGACAUCGUCUACCUCCUCAGCUGCUCUUGUUCUUCUUCAAUCCAGAGAAUUGAAUUAAUAUCAAUUAACAUAAAUUAAAAAGAUGUGAGAUUGGGAUCUGUGAAGAAGAUUAUAAUAGUAUUAUUAUUAUUAUUGAGUGAUAAAAUGGCGAAAGAGUAUAACUGAAGAUGCUGUACUGUAUUUCUGCGAUAUAGUAUUGAAAAAUGAAAAGAAGAUAAAGGUAAGAGUUUUUGUAGGAAUGCAAAAAAGAAAGUCACAUUGCAGUUUUCUACUUAAAAAAAAAAUUGAGAAGGUAAUGGACAAAACUUCAGUUUUGAGUUUUGACCGCGUCCUAAUUCAUUUCUCACUUCUAACUCCCCACGACACCCACGCAAACCACCCACUUAGCGAUGCUGCCUCUGUGAACUACCGCGGUUGAUGUUGAUUGUUGUUGGUGUCCAUUUUUUUUUUAAGUAAAUUAAUUUAGGCAAUAUUGUAAUAUAGUUUAAUUUUAAUUGUGGAGACAUAAUGCGUUUUAAAACCAAGCAUGUAAAAUCUGUAAAAGAAUCUCCCAUUUUAUUUAAUGUCGUUUUUCUUUUUUGGUUUGCUCCUUUAAAAAGUAAAUUAUAUACAAGGAUAGUCCUAAAAUGAUCUUUUCUUUAUUUAUUCCAAGAAAAAGAAAAAAUGAUGCAUUUCUAUAUUAUAAUAACAUUUCAUUUUACUUUCAAAACGAAGAUGUUUGGUUGAAACUUGAAAAUGUGGAACGGUCAGUGUCAAUGUUUAGGUUUAUAGUUCGAUUCAUGAUGCCACAUUCAAACCAACUUCUUUGGCUCAAGUCUAGUUGUUGAUCCUAUUAUUCAACCUCCCAUUUUUUCAAAUGUCCUAAUAUUAGACAAGCCGUAUUCGUAGAGAUGAACUCAUAACAUACUCAUUUUGUAUUAAAAUUUAGAUAUAUCUUUCAAAUUCAUUUCAUCAUAAUAGCAGCGAUAGCGAUUAGUAUUUAAAUGUAAGACCAACUUCAAAUGUCUUCCCAAUUGAUUUUUCAAGAUCAUAAAAUGGAAAAUAAUUACUAUCCCUACUACAAAGCUUUAUAGACAAUCAUUUUCUAUGAACCAAUCCUAUUACCAUUAUAAAUUUAUUGAUUUAUGCACUCUAUUGCUUCUCUUUGUUUAGACAGUUAACAUUACAUGUUGUAUUUUCAAAUUGACGGCAGAAUGAAGAAGAUUCAACACUUCUUCCUACCUACCAUUUGCAGUUCAGGUGACAAGUUCCCACAAAGACCCAAUUUGCUUGUGUUUGUCUUUUCACAGGUGAUUCCAAACUUUGCCUUCGUCAUAACACCAGGCAUUCUUAAUAGAAUUUCAGUCGCUAUAUAACACCCCAAUCAUAUAGCAACAGACUGUCCACAGAUGAAGUGUGAUGGGCAUAAAUAAAACCACCACCAUCUUACAGAUAGAGUUAGUGGUUGUGAGAAAAAGGAAUUCAGUAAUUCUUGCUACAAAUAACUCACAUCUUCAAGAAAACUAUAGCACAUUAUCAAUGUCAUAGGGCACAAUAAUCUUUCAGUAUUUGUCUUGCCAGGUCAAAUGCUCCACUCUUUUUGUAAAUCAAGUGCAAGUUGUAUGCUGCUUCUCUGCGAAGAUCACAGUAACCUGGUUUUCUGUUUUCGACAAGAUCUGGGUUCUCAUUAGGCAGCUUUGGGAUGGGAUAAUCAUUUUCGUGAGUGUCAAGUACCCUUUGAUAAUAUAUGGCAGCUAGAGAAACAAGACCAACAUGAUGAUAUGCUCGACCAAUAUUAUACAUUGCUUCCUGCAAAAGAAAUUCAAGGAGUUCCUUUAGAUGCCCCAACACUUCCUGUGUUGAUGUAAAAGAAAAUAUUAAAUAUAGCUCAUUACCAAAAAAGUCAUAUUUCAAAUUGGACUAAUAAAAAGCAGACAUCAGACUUAAAGAAAAGAAGGCUAGGCAAGUUCAAAGUGUAACCUGUCUGUUUCCUGAAAGCCUCAAAUUAUUAUACAGGAAAGCCAUUCCCUGUAGUAUACACUGAUGCUUGUUAUGAAGUCUGAAUCCAAGAGCUACAUUUAUUAACGCGGUUCCUGGAAACGAAGGCAAACGUUAAACUUGCAAAUUGAUAUCACGAAAGAUAAAGACUGCGUCAACUCUGCCUUCUUUUAUUUGGUUGCUAGAAGAAACCCAUACCCGCACAGAGAUUUAUCAAUUGAUUAUCUGUCAUCAGCUUAUAGGCUUCUAAAUAUUCUCUAGCCGCUGCUUGAUGCUGGCUGAUCGUGGUAAACUGGUGUCCAGCAAUAAUAAUUGGUGGUACGCAAUCUUUGUGUUUGGUACGCAUAUUAUGCAAGAACUUGUUAUGUUUUGAAUACCGAAUAUCUAGUCUGCACAUGAUCAUCCAUAGUAAAAUUAACAAAUUAAAAUACAAAACAAAAAUAAGAUCAAGCAGUCGUAAAUUUGUAAAAUAAAGGGUUCUCUUCUUGAUUUGUUGAGAAAGUUCUCUUUUAUAUCUUAAAAGGCUUCAAAUCUUAUUUUGGACAAGAUUCACUGUACUCUCAGAUCUCUAGUAACUGCUUUACCCUGAUGCUAAACUGAAAAUACUUUUUUCGGGUAUCACAGUUAAGGUUAUAAAAGAACUGAAUGCAAGAAUAGUCAAAUCUUAAAACAAUAUAAUUCAACCCAGAAUGCUACAGUACAUACAUUACUAACCUAACUACAGAAUAUAACAUUCAAGAAAAUAUGGCACGACUACAGAGAUGUUUUAGUUUCAAAAAAGCGGUGGACGGGAAAACAAUUGAAAGACUAGUAGACCCCUAGGCUGACAACAAACCAACUGAAGUUACUAAGUAACAACUAAUUGUUGUAAGUUCCAGUUUGAGAACUGUAUUUAUUUUCAAUGCAUAAGAGAGUCCCUCCUUCCCAAACUGAAGAACCCAAUUUAGCUAGCCUAAAAAUUGAUACCAGAAAGUGUGAAUACAUUCUAUUUUCAAUUUUAAAGCGCAUAGGAAAUAGAACUGGAACACAUGAAAAGCUUGGAAACCUAAAGAUGUCAAAGUGAAUUCAAAAAUAAUAUAGAAUUUUAUUAUUAUAUGUCAAUUUAACUUUUUGACAAUUGUAAAGUUGAAAUUGCUGUUGCAAGAAAGAAGUCAAUCGACAGUUUAAAAUAAAAAUUAGGUCAAACAAAAUAGAAAAGGAGCAUAAAUAAAUUAUCUUUUGAUAGUCUUCAUGUGAUUCUCAAAAUGCUACUGGACAAGCCGGGCUGCUGGAAUGCAAUACGGCAACGGGGUGGUGAAAUAAUACAAGAUUAGCACAAAGACUAAUAAAAGCAAGUGUGAAUACAUCAUUAUACUUUAAUUUGUUAAGAGUAUAGGAAAUAAUAAUGGGAAGAUGUAAAAAGCUAGGAAGCUUAAAGAUGUCAAUUCAAAAUAAAUAUAAAAUAUUAUUCUAUUGAAGGAAAGAAGUCAAAUAAGGAGCAUGAAUCAAGCAUCUAUUGAUAGCCUUAAUGCGAUACACAAAAUGGUACUGGACAGGGUGGUGGAUACCAACACACACAAUGGGGCCCAUGUCACUCCAUGAAUUCUGUGGUGCAUUUAGGAUGCAUAAAUCCUACGAACCAACCCCUGCAGGUGCUUGCUGACUGUUACUUAGUCCCCCUAAAAUGCCCAAGCGCAAAACAAUCCCUAAUUAAUUUUGUAAUGGUGCAUGUAACUGUAAUAAUGUCUUACAUCGGUAAAUUUAUUGUAUGCAUUAUAUGAAAUAUUUCCAACAUAAUUUACGUACAACACACUUAUCUGCACACACUCUUCAAUCUCAACACAUGGGAUUUCAGCAGAAUCAGUGAGUGCAAACAAACAUUUACUGACAGUUAAUUUCCUCUAUUAUUCCAAAUAGCGAGUUAAUGCAAAAGCAGGACAAAGCACCUGUUAUAGAACAAGGGAAACAGAAACUGGUUCAACUAGCAUGACACAUUCGAACAAUGCCAACUACGAAAGUAGACGAGUGUUCAGAAUACUGACAGAAAUUCUGCUGAUACCUUGAUAUAACUUUGUAGUAGCAAUUCCAUGCUGCAAAGCUAUAAGGAUGCUGACUGACAAUAUAACGAGCACAAUCGAACCCACGGGUGGGAUCAGCAAUGUUAUAUCCUACUUCUGCAAGACAGAAAAAGAACGUUUUAACAAGCACGCAUCUUUAUCUUUCACUUCACGACAUUACUCAGCCAAGUAUAUCUGAACCUGUCAAUAUAAGUCUCAAUGUAGUUAAUACAGAACAGAAGCAAAGGGAGAGAGUGCUAACACUACAAGCUGAAACUUACGAGCUCCUAGAGCUUGAAGCUCCCCUUUCUUCUCAACAGACAACGUGCCACAUGCCAAUUUAAGACAGAGAUUAAUGAUCUCCAGUGCAUCCCAAUACCGUUGCAAGGAUAUUAACACCUUGCACAGCUACAAAAAGAAAUCUAAUGUUAAAAUUUCCAGUCCGCACAUACAAAAGGGCCAAGAAUCAGAAGGAAUUUAGCAUUAAAAUGUCCCUUACAAAAAAAUAUGUAGUCUUAUCCAACUAAAACAUGUAAAAAGGACAUCUCAGACCUCUGAUUAGCUUAAAUGACCGUAUCUAGUACUGACAUAAAAAUUGUAAGCAUGAGUAUUUACGAAAAGAAUAAACAUAAUAAGUGCAUUAAUGCCUGAAAACGGAACAAGGGCAGUAAUCACAUGAGACAAACAUGUUCAUUAAAGAAAAGAAAGAAAAAGAAAAAGAAAGGAAAGGAAGUGGGAAAAACUAAAAGACAGAUGGAUGGGAAGCAAGAAAUACUAACAUCUAUGAUGAGACACAGGUGCUCCUCGUCUUUUAGAAGAUUUGGUAGUGGAGGCUCUCGGUAUGCAUGCCCCUCAAGAAACAAGAUAACAUACAAGAAAAAAGGAAGUAUUAGGUCAAAAUCAAGGGUUUAAACAGUUUACAAUAUGUUACUUUACAGAAGAAACGGGCUAUAAGCUUCUCACAGGAGACUCGCUGUCCGAAUCGUCACUUUUCCAGUUAGCUCCAGCAGCCAAAGCUGCAGCUUUUUUUGCUUCCUUUAACAUUUCUUUCUUCUGAAGUAAUUUUCUGGCUCUUGCAGCUUUUGACCUAUCAAAAAGCCACAAAAUUAGUUAUUUGCACAGACAUUACCGGCCAGUAAUCGGUGUUACAGAUCAUUAUAAACAUUACAGACAUGAUCAACAAGAUUGCACUGGCAAACUCAUGCGUAGAGUUGCUCGAAGGUAAGUUAGGUAUGUUUAUGAAAAGAAUGAGCUUGGAAAAGACUAAGGAAAGAUUCCCAAAAGGGAAACAAGAAAAUGAAAAUGGCCAAUUUAACAAAUUUCAAAUUCCACAACUCGACUCCUGAAACAGCUUGGUUGAAUACUUUUGCCCGUAGAAUCUUCAGUUAAGGAGUGGAAAGAAAAAGCAGAACAUGGUAAAAUUAAAACUCACAGAUCAGAUGCCAAAGCUAAAGGCCUAAAGCCAUGAAAGACGGUAUCAGUUUGGUGAUCAUCCACAACCUUGAUUCUUUGAAAUAGAACACUUUUAGACAGCCUUUUCCGCACUUUAACCUAAAAAGUAGAUCAACCAAUUAAAAGGAAUAAAGUUAGUUAGAUACAAGGUAAUCUCUGGGAGUUCAAAUGAUGCUAUCACAUGGACAUUUAUUAAAGAUGAUUAAAUAACCUGAAUUAAAAGUAAAUGCAGAUAUUUACCAAUUAAAAGAAAAGGUAAAUGCACAUAUUUUUCCAGUAGGGUUAUGACUUGUGCUUGAGUCCAUUUGUGUAAUAAUUAUGGACAUCUCUAAAAAGCAAUUUGCUUAUGCAACUAGGCUACCCAUAUCCAAGAUGAAUUUGACCUUGCAUGCACCAAUUUACUUACUUCAAGAAAAAAUCCUUGAUACACUACUGAUGGUUUGGUAGACGGAAAAAAUGAAUAAAGUGGUCAUUGUAUGACAUAUAACAGACAGUUUACGAGUGUUAAUAUACCUCCCCUCAAUAAAUAUUGCCUCUUCCAUAAUGCUAAGUUGUUUCUCAAAUUUUGGAAUAACCAAAUCACAAGCCCACUAGUUUUUAUAUUUUGCACAAAACGGUAAACCAAUUUAUGUCACUGGAACUGAUGCAGUACUGCAUUUAAGUAUCCAUGCCAAGUUAAAUAGCUGAGGAUUUUCAGUAAGGCACUAUUAGGCAGAUGGUUAUGGAGGUUUGGGAGAGAGGAACAUGAUUUUUGGAGAGAGAUGAAAACAUAAAAAUACAGGGUCUUGGAAGGGGCUUGGAGGAUUAAAAGAGUAACUAUGCCUAGUUGUGGGGUGUGAAGGAACAAGCUUUUGGGGACACAGGUGAUGUGGGGACAAUAUUUUGAGAUUACAUUUCCUAACAUUUACUGAAUUUAAUUUUUGUGCUGAUGGAGCGAAAGAAAUGCAAGGUGUUUUUAAGAGCAAAAUUCUUUACAAAAAGUUAGCUGAACUGUAUUUUGUCCUUUCAUUUUUGGUGUAAAGAAUUCUGUGCAGAUGAAACUGAAACUUUACUACAGUUUUAAGAGUCCUUGUAAGAAGAAUCUAGGACAUGAUGUACUUUUGGUCUUUUGUAAAUAUGGUUACCAGAACAAUCAUUGUGCUGAUGAAUAUACUUAUACUGUUACCUUUCUCAAAAAAAAAAAAACAUUGAUGGAAUUUCAUGUCAAAAGGAGAUGAUAGUCCAAUGAAUCCAGAGGAUACAAGAUGGAGAUAUUUUUCUGGAUUUAAGGUUUAGGAGGAACUUUCAAGACUGUGAAGUAGCAGAAUUUCAAAACCUAGUAGAUUUACUUCACCGGCAAGGAACAUCACAUGAUAAUUAUGAUGUACAGAGGUGGGGGUCGAGGAACAAUGGAGUAUUUUCGGCUAAGUCAUAUCAUGAGAAGCUCAUGCUUAGUGAGUACCAAAUAGAUCGAUUUGGAUUCCAAAGAUACGGGGAAAUAUGUGUUUCUUCACUUGGCUAGCAACAAGAGGGGUGAUAUUGACGGCCGAGAAUCUGAGUAAGAGGAAGGUUACGCACAUUAGUAGGAAUUUUUUGUGUAAUGGCUUGGGAUAUCUUAAGUUAUGUCAGGCAUGGUGAAAGAGCUAAUGUUCAGUUGGAAUUGCGAUAGGUGGAAGAGAAGAUGCAGCGCAUGGAAUGUUGCUCUACUAGCUCUUAUGUGGGUCGUUUGGAGAGAAAGAAAUAGGAGAGCUUCCGAAAGUGUUGAGUUGAACUUUGUACAAUUGAGGAAUAGCCGUUUAUCCCUUUAUUCUUUUUGGUGCACUCAUGAAGUUCCUUUAUAUAUAAAAGAUGGGGUGUCAUUCAUAAAGAACCAUAUCUUUUUCUAAGAUUUCUACUCUUUUGGUAUACUUCUUGUGUAUAGGUGUUUUCGUGCCCAUACAUUCAAUAAAAUUAUUACUUCAUCAAAAAAAUACCCCUGCCAAUCAGUAAAGGUCAUUUUUUUAAUCAAGUGAAAUAGGAUUUCAUUAAUCAAGCAUCAGGGAUGCAACUGAUUGCAAAAACAUAUCGAAGCUCCUUUCAAAACAUCACCGUCCUAACAACUUAAGGAGCUUACAAAAUCAAAAGGAUCUGAAGAACUGUUUACAUAUAAGUAAAAGAUCAUUUAUUCAUAAAACAUCAGUACUAGCUUCGUACUGAGAAAGUACAAAUUACAACAGUAAGGAUUCAUGAAAUCCAGCAGUACAUCAAAUAUCAUUUACAAAAGAAGCCUUAAACCAAAUUUUCAGAUUCAGGAUACAUUUAUAUUUUUUUGAAGCAAGAUAAUAUCAUUGAAAGGGGGUCCAAUUGUCGGUGAAGAGGAGAUCUUAAAGU
rnacentral:lncRNA from 1 species